AUACCUUAUNCGCCCUUCGGGGGAAAGAUUUAUCGGAGAGGGAUCGGCCCGCGUUAGAUUANAUAGUUGGUGGGGUAAUGGCCUACCAAGUCUACGAUCUAUAGCUGGUUUUAGAGGAUGAUCAGCAACACUGGGACUGAGACACGGCCCANACUCCUACGGGAGGCAGCAGUGGGGAAUCUUANACAAUGGGCGAAAGCCUGAUCUAGCCAUGCCGCGUGAGUGAUGAAGGCCCUAGGGUCGUAAAGCUCUUUCGCCAGGGAUGAUAAUGACAGUACCUGGUAAAGAAACCUCGGCUAACUCCGUGCCAGCAGCCGCGGUAAUACGGAGGGGGUUAGCGUUGUUCGGAAUUNNNGGGCGUAAAGCGCGCGUAGGCGGAUUGGAAAGUUGGGGGNGAAAUCCCGGGGCUCAACCCCGGAACUGCCUCCNNAACUAUCAAUCUANAGUUCGAGAGAGGUNANUGGAAUUCCAAGUGUANAGGUGAAAUUCGUANAUAUUUGGAGGAACACCANNGNNNAANGNNGNUCACUGGCUCGAUACUGAC
rnacentral:rRNA from 1 species